rnacentral:rRNA from 1 species
UACGUAGGGCGCAAGCGUUGUCCGGAAUUAUUGGGCGUAAAGAGCUCGUAGGCGGUGUGUCGCGUCGGAUGUGAAAGCCCGGGGCUUAACCCCGGGUCUGCAUUCGAUACGGGCUGGCUGGAGUGUGGUAGGGGAGAUCGGAAUUCCUGGUGUAGCGGUGAAAUGCGCAGAUAUCAGGAGGAACACCGGUGGCGAAGGCGGAUCUCUGGGCCAUUACUGACGCUGAGGAGCGAAAGCGUGGGGAGCGAACAGG